UUCUUUUUUUUUUUACCUGGUUUCACUCGUAAUCUAAUCCAUGUUGCGAGUUCAAGGUCCGAUCCCUGCCUCGAUGACUACUGGAACUAUUCUCUGGGAAACAUCAAUUCUAUAACCUCUCCCCGAAACUCACAAAUCGGCCUUUACUUCGAUGCCUCAUCACACGGUGCCCAUCCAAAUUGUGUGCGUUCGAGGGGCAACAUUCAAGCAGCCAUCAAGACGGAAAUCAAUACAAAUCACUUCAGUCUUGCUGCUGGGGAUUAAUUGAACAUGACGUUUGAUCAGCUGGUGUGUGAGUUGGGUUCCAGGCCUGGGGAGAGGUGGUUCAGGGACGGCAGAUUCUCAAGCUCACCCAUGAGACAACUUAAGCGUGACAACGAGGGUGUGUGCUGACGGAUGUGAUAUCUAAUUUGGCCUUGGGGAGAUCAUAGAAAUGGGAGAAUGAGUGGGUGGGGAUAGUGCUGGUGGGUCCUGCUCGUAUGUGCACUGCUGGAAGGAUUACGCCUAUUCCCACUACACUGACCCCGGCCCGCCUUUGCCUUCGCCUUGCCUCGAUUUUUAGUUUCGUCGUGGCUUGAGAUUUGGGUCGGAUCGGAUAGUAGACCACCUCGUCGCCAACCUUGUGUCUGAUGGGUCCUCUCUCUAUUUACUGGUAGCGUUGUUGUCUUUGUUUGUAGACAAAACUUUGUAGGAGAAAUCCUGGAUGGAAGGAGCAGUCAUGGCGGAGAACAGAAACGACUGCUCAACAAUACUCUUCACUCGUUUGCAAGAACAAACCUUCACCAUGUGAUUUGCUUCGCGGGGCAGAGCACACGACAGAGAAGCAUGUGCCUGUGACCGCGCGCGCGUACUUCAGAGAGAGAGAGAGUGAGGGAGAGAGACAGAGGGAGACAGAGAAGAGAUGGUGUUGUUUUCUAAUUUUUAAUUGCCUCCUUGUUGUGGUCACGUCACAUCGCUUUGUCUGCUGCGUCUUCCCAGUCUUGCUUCGUUCUUUCCCGGGUCAUCAUAUCUCAGCUCCUGCGUAUGUAGCCUUGGAUUGGAAGUUGUGUUAUGCCGCUGCAUCGACAUCGAUUUUUUCGGGAGAUGGAGAGAGUGAUGCUGGCUCAAUGCGUUUCUGGGGCAGUAGUGGCUCGAGGUGAUGGCACAGUAGAGCAGAGAAGACGUUAGGUUGUAGGGUGAUAUGGUCUUGGCUGUGAUAGGUUGAUGUUGGAGGAUUAAAAUAUAUGAAAGAAUUGACGAUGGUUCUGCUGUUGCGGCGAGAAAGAGACUUCUGAAGAGGCUAGAGUGCAGCAACCCUGUCGAGAGUGGUGUCUUGGUGUCGUGAUGGUGAAUGUGUGAACACGUGGGUGAUAUUGCGGGAUGCCUUGUCGAGGAGGGUGAGCAGCUGUGGUUGCAGUGCAAUUGCGGUGUGGUCGUUCAAGACGUUUCUUGAGGUGAAACUGGACCUCGUGAACUCUGUGGGGUUAUAUUGCGCAAGAGAAGUGUAUUUUGUUCAAAAUUGCUUCCCUGCGUAGGACGGCUUGAGAGUUUGGUGUACACGCAAACAGUGCGGGACUGAUAACAGUUGUCGGACUAUGAGUCUCUAUGUGCCAGAGCGGGAAAGGAGUGGCGGAAUGCUUGAUGCUGUUAUUCCGUUAAAUGACUUUCACAGAUCAAAGAAGAGCCAUUUCUCUCAAUUGGCAUUAGCACCUGUGCCUGAUCAGGAUACUUUGGAAGUGGCUUGGAAUGAUAAUGGAAAAAUAGACAUCCAAGGACAAGAUAGUCAAAGGAGCAAAUCUCCAUGGCAGAUAAACUGCAUCUCGGAUUGGAGCAGUGGACAGGAAGCUGAAGCUGGAGUGACACCCAGUAAACCUGAUACUCCGAAGGGUGGAAAUUUACUGGAGACUGGAGGAAAUGGAUCAAAUACGGCACCCAAUCCAGUACACAACAUUGAUGUUGAUAACGACGAAAUGGUGUCUUGGUUACAGUAUCCACUGGAUGAUCCCUUCUGCUCUGAUUUUUUUGGAGAGAUUCAAGAAGCCAACACGCAGUUGUUGAGAGAAUCGUUUACGCAUGGUUCCACUAAGACAUUGCCCCGCACUAAUUUUCCCGGAGCUUCAGGGAAUGAUGCUGGAAUUAACAGGGAAACCCCUUCCGAUUCUGCCAUGUUAUUAGGUGUUGGCCGUGUUUCAGGUUUAUUACCUCAGGGUGGAGUAGAAGCCUUCAACAAAGUACGUUCUCUGCACUCCCUACAACAACAUUCUUCUCUUCCCAGAUGGCCACAACCGCUCACCCCCAAUUCAUCAAGUGGUUCAAGUUUAUUAGCGACAAAUAAUUUGACAUUCACAAAAGCAUCUGCACCUACAUUGGCAUCUCCCUCCCAUCACAUGUUGCCCCCUAAAACACAGCGUGUAGCCCCCGUCCUUAAUUCGCAGAAUACACCUCAACCUAGCAGUCCUGGUUCCAUGAAUUUCUCUCACUUUUCGAGGCCAGCGGCGAUGGUUAAAGCUAAUUUGCAUAGUCUGGUAGGCAUAAACUGUGGUCCACCUCCCAGUACACGUGUCAAGCAGCAGCACAACUCUCCUGUUGUAAGGCCGAUUAUGGAGGCGUGCACAUCAACUGGUUCUUCGAUUGCCGAAUCCACCACAGCAGGGCAGGGACCAUCUGGGUCCUAUCAGGAGGUGAAGACGCAACCUGCGGUUUUGGAGAGGGAACAGAACAAUGGCAUUGAGGAAUCUAGAUGGCCAUCUGCACCUUGUCCGUCACCGACAAAGGAUAGUGACUGUGUUGUUUCAGAAGGAAAUUUUAGGAGCACACCCCCGGAUCAAGAAACUUGCCGGCUAUCAGGUGUGACUAAUGGUGCUGUAUUAGCUUCUUCUGAUAAAGGAGCUUCUCAUGGUACACAACACCCCGAUGUACAGGAGCCAACCAUCACUUCCUCCUCAGGUGGAUAUGGGACCAGCAUUGAACCGCUUCAAAAGGUUAGAACAAGUAACAAAAGAAAGUGUAGCGAAAGAGAAGAGACCGAAUGCCAAAGUGAAGACGGCGAAGACGAGUCGGUAGACACAAAACAUAAACCUAUUACAACUGGUCGUGGAAGUACUACUAAAAGAAGCAGGGCUGCCGAAGUCCACAAUCAGUCCGAAAGACGUCGAAGAGACAGAAUCAACGAAAAAAUGAGAGCACUACAGGAGCUUAUCCCAAACUCUAACAAGACGGACAAGGCAUCCAUGCUGGACGAGGCAAUUGAUUAUCUAAAAAUUCUUCAGCUUCAGCUCCAGAUGAUGUCAAUCAGGACGGGUAUGACUUUGCCACCAAUGGUUAUGCCUCCUGGAUUACAACACAUGCAGAUGCCGCAGAUGCCGCAGGUGGCAGCAAUGCCGUCCAUGGGGAUGGUGCAAAUGGGACUUGGGAUGGGAAUGAUGGAGCAGGCUGCACAAAGACGAACAAGAAUGCCUAUGCAGUCUCAUACAGGGCCACCUCUCAAUGUUUGUUUGGCAAACACAUCUUCUAUGGUUGAUGUACAUGACCUCCGCUAUCAACAGCCAGGCGUUUUGGGUUAUAAUACCAGCAUGUCUCGUCAGCAUCAGCCAAUGCAAACGACCAAGGGUCUAGACCUUGACAAGUGUAAUGCUUAUAUGUUGCAGCAGCAUCAACUUCUAUUUCAACAGCAACAACUUCAGCAGCACCAACUUCAUCAACAUCAACAGCAUCUGCAACACCACCAGCGGGCUCCUAAUAUGGGUGGAGGUCCACUUCAAUAAUGAUAAGAAUUGUUAUGGAAAGUUGACCGAAUGACCGUGCUUGCAAAGGUCUCGAAAAUUUGGUGAACGUGGACAAGUUGAUGCAGUCUUUGUAACGAAGCAGAAUGUAAACUUGGUGGCCCUUUGGAAAUGGACUUCAAGAGCCGGAUAUGUGUUUAGCACCCUCUUCUGCACAAUGGACUGAAUCAAAGCUGAAGAAUUCUAAGCUUUGGACUGACAAAUGGAGCAGUGCAAACUCUUGGAGAAGUAAUUGUAUGAAACUUGGAGUCCCAGCUUAAGCAACAUUGUCGAAUCUCUGAGCGACUUCUAUACUGAAGAUGCGAGCUGAUAGAUAGAAUCCUGAUGCAAGGCUUCCAUGCCAACGAUGCACAGCUGAUGUUGCUUCUGCGUCAUCGAUGGCACAAGUGGCAAGAAUCUCCUCGAGCUGUUUCAAGACCUCCACCAUUCCGAAACGGAUCUCCGAUUGCAGGAAUCUUAAUGAUAAAGGAUUCUACUCCUGAUCAGCGGCAACAACAUGAAACCUCAUUCUGCAUGGGUAAGCAGAUAUUUCUAGAACUUUGGUGCAGAUUCCAUGGAAGUAAAUCCUGCCGUACUUGUUCAACUGUUAAGUUGCAGAUCAGUCAAUCAAGUUUAACCAUGAAAUCACAACAGGAAGUACCCAUGUUUAUUUUUCUAUAUAUUUUAUUCGAUUUAACCCUCACUCUUUUUGUUUUUA